rnacentral:rRNA from 1 species
AACGAACGCUGGCGGCAGGCUUAACACAUGCAAGUCGAACGGGCGUAGCAAUACGUCAGUGGCAGACGGGUGAGUAACACGUGGGAACCUUCCUAGGGGUACGGAACAACUCAGGGAAACUUGAGCUAAUACCGUAUACGUCCGAGAGGAGAAAGAUUUAUCGCCCUUAGACGGGCCCGCGUCGGAUUAGCUAGUUGGUGGGGUAACGGCCUACCAAGGCGACGAUCCGUAGCUGAUCUUAGAGGAUGAUCAGCCACACUGGGACUGAGACACGGCCCAGACUCCUACGGGAGGCAGCAGUGGGGAAUCUUGGACAAUGGGCGCAAGCCUGAUCCAGCCAUGCCGCGUGAGUGAAGAAGGUCUUCGGAUUGUAAAGCUCUUUUGCCAGGGACGAUAAUGACGGUACCUGGAGAAUAAGCCCCGGCAAACUUCGUGCCAGCCGCCGCGGUAAUAC